rnacentral:rRNA from 1 species
AUGUGUGGGGGCCUGGGGAUCCAGGUGAGGAAUAAGAGCACCUUCCCGCCCAUGACUUUUCCCGAGUCAGUCAGAGGCUGGCAGUCGACCUGGUUCUAUUGCCAGGACCAGUCGAUGCCGGGGCAGUUGAGUGGACUCCCUCAGUUUACCAUGGACCGAGUGAACAAGCCCUCCUCUCUGAAGUUGAUUCCGGAGGAGAAGGCUGACGUGAAGAUGUUGAUGGAGCGCGUGGUGCAGUUGGUUCGGGAGGGAGUGACGGGCAUGGAUCUCUUGGAGGUCUUCCUUAGGCGUCGUAUCCAGCCCCUUCAGUUCCGGAGCCACUGCAUGUGGUUGUACUGUGGGACUGCAGACGAGACUCGAGUCCAUCCAGAAGCAGUCGACGAUGUCACUCUGGAAAGAUGGAUGGCCGCCAUUACCGGAAACAAGGAUAACCCACGCGGAGCCAGAAGGAUUCCUCCACUCGACCACAACAGUGAUCCAAACAAGGCCCUCACCGAGCUGUACUCGAUGCCCAAUGGAGCACAAGCCCCGACUGAGGAGGGUGAGGCGAGUGGGGGCGAGAGCCAGGAGGAGGAGGAAUGGGACUCGGACGUUGCUGAAGAUGAUGAUGACGAUGAUGAUGAUGACGGUGAUGAAGAUGACGGUGAAGAGGAGGAAGAAGAGGAGGAGGAGGCCGUACCACCGCGCUCAGAAAGGCGGUCGAAGCUUGUCCACGACCCUUCGACUGAACGUGGCAAGGGAGUUGCGACCGCUGCUCAGUCGACCAAGCGCACUCGGACCACCUCUCCGGCGCCGACUGAAAAGGCGCCGAAGCAGCCCAGGGCAGCUCCGUCAAAGGCGACCAAGCUCCUGCCGAAGAUGAAGGUGUCCAUCCCCACCAUAUCAGGGUAA